UUCCGGUUGAUCCUGCCGGAGAUCACCGCUAUCCGGGUUCGGCUUAUCCAUGCGAGACGAGAGGGGUUAAGCCCUCGUCGUACUGCUGAGUAACACGUAGUCAAUCUACUCUUAGGUGGGGAAUAAUCUUGGGAAACUGAGGCUAAUACCCCAUAGAUUAUAGAUACUGGAAUGUUCUAUAAUCCAAAGCUCCGGCGCCUAAGAAUGAGACUGCGGCCUAUCAGAUUGUUGUCAGGAUAAAAACCUGACAAGUCUAUAACGGGUAAGGGCCAUGAGAGUGGAUGCCCUCAGAUGUUUUCUGAGACAUGAAAACAGGGCCUACAGGUCGCAGCAGGAGCGAAAACUUUCCAAUGCGUUAAUGCGUGAGAAGGGAACCUGGAGUGAUUACACUUCAAGUGUAAUCUUUUGUUUAGGCUAAAGAUCUAUUCGAAUAAGGAGUGGGCCAGACAGGUGCCAGCCGCCACGGUAAUACCUGCGCUCCAAGUGGUGAUCAUUUUUAUUGGGCUUAAAGCGUCCGUAGCCGGUUUAAUAAGUUUCUAGUGAAAUCCUGCAGCUAACUGCAGGGCGUGCUGGAAAUACUGUUAGACUUGGGACCGGGAGAAGUCAGAGGUAUUCCAUGUGUAGGGGUUAAAUCCUUUAAUCCAUGGAGGACCGCCUGUGGCGAAUAUUUUGAGUAUUGAAAAUUAUAAGCACACAAAAUAUUCCAUAAAAGGCGUCUGACUAGAACGGGUCCGACGGUGAGGGACGAAAGCUAGGGGAGCGAUCGGGAUUAGAUACCCCGGUAGUCCUAGCCGUAAACGAUGCCCGCUUGGUGUCGCGUAUCUUAUGUGGAUAUGCGGUGCCGGAGCGUAAGUGUUAAGCGGGCCGCCUGGGGAGUACGUCCGCAAGGAUGAAACUUAAUGGAAUUGGCGGGGGAGCACACAAGAAGUGGAGGCUGCGGUUCAAUUGGAUUCGACGCCGAACAACUCACGGGGGUUGACAGCAGUAUGAUGGUCACUCUGAAGGGGUUACCUGACGCGCUGAGAGGUGUUGCAUGGCCAACGUCAGCUCGUACCAUGAGGCGUGCGCUUAAGUGCGUUAACGAGCAAGACCCACGCCGUCAUUUGCUAUUAUCUUCUCCGGAAGGUAAGCACCAUGACGGGACCGCUGGUGAUGAACCAGAGGAAGGUGUGGACAACGUUAGGUCCGUAUGGCCCGAAUACCCUCGGCUACACGCGGCCUACAAUGGGUGGUACAAUGCGAUGCAAUACUGAAAAGUAAAGCUAAUCGUUAAAGCCACUCUUAGUACGGAUUGAGGAUUGUAAUUCAUCCUCAUGAAGCCGGAAUUUCUAGUAGGCGAAAUUCACUAUAUUUCGCCGAAUACGUCCCUGCUCUUUGCACACACCGCCCGUCA
rnacentral:rRNA from 1 species